GCCGCGGCUCCCUCCGCCUCCGAGCUGUGGAUGUCCAGGGGCUGAGUGGUGCCAAAGCGACAAGCAAUCCGCUGCUCCGGGUUUUACGAGCAGCACGAGGAAGAGCCUGGACCGGGCUGGGGAAGCUGUCAGUGGAGGCGGUCUUCAGUGAGUCCGGUGGGAUGCUACUUCUUGCUGGAGGAGAUUUCUGCAAUAGCUGAAGCCCGUGGGUGUCCCAUGGACUGUAGUCACCGCUUUUGCCCCCAGACACUGUGGUGAUGGCUAUCACUCCCAUGAUCUCCGGUUUUAUUUGUGUUAAGCUACAUUCCUAGAAGUGGAAACACCAAGAAAACAAGUCUUCUCUUCAAGACUUUAACACGAUGGAUAUUGCCCAGGAAAGAUGAUUUCUAGUUCAAACCCCAAGAACAAUUAUGAAAGUAUUUGUGUCAUAGUACUCUCACCAUGAUCAAAAUAAAGAUAAAAUAGUGAGCAUUAGAUGCAAAA